AAUGAGUUCAAGGACCUGGUAAGUUUUGGAGGUGUUUGAAUAUAAACACUAUUCCCCCGUUGUGGGGGCUCCCGGAUUUUUUUUAGCACAGAGUUGAUCUGCUCAGAUUGACGCUGGCGGCAGGCCUACACAUGCAAGUCGAGCGGAUGACGGGAGCUUGCUCCCUUGAUUCAGCGGCGGACGGGUGAGUAAUACCUAGGAAUCUGCCUGGUAGUGGGGGACAACGUUUCGAAAGGAACGCUAAUACCGCAUACGUCCUACGGGAGAAAGCAGGGGACCUUUCGGGCCCUUGCGCUAUCAGAUGAGCCUAGGUCGGAUUAGCUAGUUGGUGAGGUAAUGGCUCACCAAGGCGACGAUCCGUAACUGGUCUGAGAGGAUGAUCAGUCACACUGGAACUGAGACACGGUCCAGACUCCUACGGGAGGCAGCAGUGGGGAAUAUUGGACAAUGGGCGAAAGCCUGAUCCAGCCAUGCCGCGUGUGUGAAGAAGGUCUUCGGAUUGUAAAGCACUUUAAGUUGGGAGGAAGGGCAUUAACCUAAUACGUUAGUGUUUUGACGUUACCGACAGAAUAAGCACCGGCUAACUCUGUGCCAGCAGCCGCGGUAAUACAGAGGGUGCAAGCGUUAAUCGGAAUUACUGGGCGUAAAGCGCGCGUAGGUGGUUCGUUAAGUUGGAUGUGAAAUCCCCGGGCUCAACCUGGGAACUGCAUCCAAAACUGGCGAGCUAGAGUAGGGCAGAGGGUGGUGGAAUUUCCUGUGUAGCGGUGAAAUGCGUAGAUAUAGGAAGGAACACCAGUGGCGAAGGCGACCACCUGGGCUCAUACUGACACUGAGGUGCGAAAGCGUGGGGAGCAAACAGGAUUAGAUACCCUGGUAGUCCACGCCGUAAACGAUGUCAACUAGCCGUUGGAAUCCUUGAGAUUUUAGUGGCGCAGCUAACGCAUGAAGUGACCGCUUUGGGGCCCG
rnacentral:rRNA from 1 species